rnacentral:rRNA from 1 species
UACGUAGGUGGCAAGCGUUGUCCGGAUUUACUGGGCGUAAAGAGCGCGCAGGCGGUCGUUCAAGUCGCGUGUGAAAGCCCCCGGCUCAACUGGGGAGGGUCACGCGAUACUGAUCGACUCGAAGGCAGGAGAGGGUAGUGGAAUUCCCGGUGUAGUGGUGAAAUGCGUAGAUAUCGGGAGGAACACCAGUGGCGAAGGCGACUACCUGGCCUGUUCUUGACGCUGACGGCGCGAAAGCUAGGGGAGCAAACGGGG